UCUUUAUUAUUGCUACAAGCUUCACGCUUGCUAAAAUUACUGCUUCCUUCCCUCUCCUCUUUCUCUCUCUUGCGCAGGAAAUUUCCGGGGGAAUUUAAAGCGACAGAGGGAGGCGAUUCUUCAAUUCAAGCUCUCAAUUACUUCAAUCGACAGAUGGGAAAGAUUGUUUCAGAAAAGAAAACGAUGACUAAGGCGGAGUCGUUGAUGACGCCAGACAUGAUUGCGGGUUUCAUGAAAAUGGUGGGGUUUCCUAAGAUUGCAUUUGCUCAUGUUCCAGGAAAAGGUCGGAAGGUGGAGAAUUGUCCCAAGGGUUUCAUUAUAUUCUUUAGGUAUCCAUUCUUGGAGACAUGGGCUAAAUUUCCCUUCAAGCCUUUGACUAGAUCUUUCUUUGAGGUGCUAGGGUUAAGCCCUAGGCAAUUAAUGCCAUCUGGUUGGAUGAUUUUAUCAGAUUUGGAGGAAGUGACUAAAGAUUGGGAAGAUCCCUUUACUUUGGAGGAUUUAAUUAAAGCUUAUGACAUAAAGAUGAAGAAGGAUUGUUUUGUGAGUUUGCAUAAGAAGGGGGAACAAUUGGUUUUGAACACCGACAGUAAUGACAAGGGUUGGGCUCAGUACUUCGUUUUCAUCAAGAAGACGUCAAUAGGUACUAAUGGAAUGUGGCUGAUGGAAGGGUGGCCAGAAAAGGGUUGCGCAGAUCUUAAUCUCGAUUUUCUCGAGCCGACGGAGAGAUCGUCGUCGAAGAUAAAAGCGGAUUCUCUAAGUAGGGCACUUAAAAAGGACUUUUGAGAGGAUGAGACACACUCUCUGUGAAUCGUCGGGUCAGAAGCAUAAAGAAUUACCAAGAAUCCCUCAGAGAGUCAAGGAUUCCGAGGAAACGAUGUCUACACAGUCUGCAGCGCAGGGUGGUCGUCGAGGACGAAACACAUCCCAGGCUGAGAAGGACGCAAGGAGGAGGAGGAAGUGUGGGUUAGCACCCCAGGAGGCGUCACUGUCGUCGGUAGUGGAUAGGACGGAGCAACUUCAUGUGUCGUUGUCGCCGCAGAAAGUUAGCAGCGCAACUACUCUAGUCCAUGCAUCGUCGUCUCCUCCCCAUAAACAAUAGAAUACGAACGAUGCUCCAGCACCUCAAGACUUGGAGUUCCCGAGAAGGAUUGGCCAGGACUUCCACUUUGGAUAUUGCGUCGGAGGCUGCUUGUGUUCAUCUCUAUGUGAGUUUCUUUCUCUUUGUUGCUUUUUGUUGGUGAUGUAUAUUUAGGUUGUGAUUUGGGACUUGUCUGGUUUGGAUAGUGUUUUCAAAAUUCUUUAGUUUUGAGGGAAAGGGUGAUCGGGUUGGCUAAAGAGAUGAAGAGGUUAUAUGAUAUUGUGAAUAAUAAUGAAGCUAAUAUGAAUACCGCGACGAGACAGUUUAUAACUAUGAAGAAACAGUUUGACGAUGCGGCUAAGAAGGUGAUCGAACUGGAAAGUCGGUUAGAGGAGCAAGCAAAAAAGAUGAGGAGCAAGAAAAAAAGGUGGAUGAGAAAGCCCAACAGCUGAAGGACCAAGCCAAGAAACAGAAGGAACAAGCCCAGCAAUUGGAGGACAAGGUUGUGGUUAUACAAGAUCGAGAUGAAGCUUUGUCAAAGGUGAAGGAAGAGUUGUCGACAGUUAAAAGGACUUGGACGACGCUUUAAAUUGGAGAUCAAGCUUAGGGUUUAGCUGAUGAAGGAGUACCUAGAUGGGAAGGCUACAAAGUGGCGUCUGCAGGAAGAAAUUGAUCAUUUCUUGGCCAACGGAGGGACUAUUGUCGAGCUGGAGAAGAUGCUGUAAUUGUUUCGACUGCGAAGUCGGAACCUCAUACGUCGAAUGUUGUUCCUCCUACCACUAACAAAGCUUCGGCACAACCAACGAUUGGUGAAGGUGUUGGAGACAAUGCCCCUAUCGACAAGAUCAUAAAAUAUGUCGUCGAAAGAGUGAAUGCUAAUGGCGAAGCUAAUGCUUGAAGGCCAUUGCUUGUGAUGGUUUCUUUUGCUAUGUAUUUAUGCUUUUGUUUUGCACUUUGAUACUUUAGUUUUUCACUUGGAUGUUUUUGUCAUGGCUUUUGAAUAUUUUUGUUUGGAUAUUAUUGUCUUUUUUUCCACUUGAUGGCAAGUGGUUCUUGAAGCUGAUGGCGAAGCUGAUGCUUGAAAGCCAUUGCUUGUGCUGGUUUCUUUUGCUAUGUAUUUAUGCUUUUGUUUUGCACUUUGAUACUUUAGUUUUUCACUUGGAUGUUUUCGUCAUUGCUUUUAAAUAUUUUUGUUUGGAUA